GGACCACUAGCUCAGUUGGUAGAGCAGCUGACUCUUAAUCAGCGGGCCAUAGGUUCGAGUCCUAUGUGGUCCA
rnacentral:tRNA from 1 species